AGACUUUUUUGUGGAACGGACGAAGUAAUGUAACUUCACGAUUAAAUUUGAAUUUAAACUCAGCAUUGAGUUUUGGGAAGCACCAUCGUAUCUGCUUUAAUUGGAAUGUAUUAUGUGACACCGUUACUUUAUAAUUCUUCUUUUUCCCCCUAGUUGUUUGAUUAAUUAGUCAAAAAAAAUUAAAUUUUACUAAACUCUUUGGUAAGUAAUACUUAUAUAAAGAGAUAAUAUAAG
rnacentral:lncRNA from 1 species